CCACACACACACACACACACACACAAUCAACCUUGUAUAGCUCCGCCACUGAAGUCAAAUAUGACCAUUUCAUGGGCUCUAUCUUGGAGUUGCACGGUUUUGAGCCCUUCAAGGACUCACUCUGUCCAUCCAUGCACACUUCUCACAUGAGGGUCUUGUGGUAUCCUCUGAUGUACAUAAAUCUGGGCUCUACCUUGGAGUUGCGUAGUUUCGUGCCCUUCAAGGACUAGCUCGAUCCAUCCAUGCAUAGUUCUCAUAUGAGGAUCUUGUGGCAUCCCCAGCCUGUACAUGAAUCUGGACUCUAUCCUGGAAUUAUACAUUUCUGUACACUUUGUAGUAUUCACUCCAGCACUUGUAGGAUUCCUACAAGUGUUACUGAUCUGAUUUAGGAGCUCUGAAAAUUUCACUACAAGGAAAUGGAUCAUAAUUCACAACAGCAACAUGAAGCAACAUAAUUCACAACAGCAACUGUAACAUCAUGUGAAAUUUUGAAGUUGUGCUGAAUCUUGUAAAAACAUCUGGAGUUUUCUCAAUAUAGGAAGGGUUACGGGAACCACCAGCUGCUGAUGAUUUACACGCUGCAAAGCUGUUUACAUGCAAACUAACACUUACUAAUGGGUGAUGCAUUGUAAGUGCCUUACUCUGGUUGAUCUGUUCCAUAAUUCAAUUAGAAAUGUACAAUCAGAAGAUAAUGUUAUGAUGUUACCAUGGUAAAAGGUGUGGUCCUGCUGGUUCAGGCAGACCUGGUUCUCCUGAAAUUUCAAUCUACAGUAUGUUCAUCGACACCCUGAUGAUUCCUUGCUUGUAGCUAUCCCCAGACUCUUAUCUUGGAGUUGUACAUUUUUCCACCCUUGUAACACUCAGUCCAUCCAUGCAUGAUGCAUAGUUCUCACAUGACGGUCUUGUGUUAUCUUCUUCAUGCACAUACAUUUGGUGUUCUCAUCUUCGCUUUGCUAUGCAUCAAAAUACUUCACUUAAAUCUUCAUGGUCAUCCGUGAAGACAUGGUGGUGUACUUGCUAGUUCAAGACUAAAUGUGCUCUCGCAGAUGGUUUUCAAGUUCACUAUGCUUCCACAACCUUUUCAUAACUUUACAUUUUCAGGUUUGCAUUUCAUUGUUACAAGAUGUUCUCCAAGACGAUCAUCCUUUUAUCUUAUGUUGCUAGCCUCAUCGGUACUUGGCAUUGCAUUUCCUACAUUGGGAUCUAGCAUACUCCGCCGGUACAUCCGAACCCCUUGUGGAGUUUCUCACUAAAAAAGAGUGAGAUGUGAGAGGUAAGAAACCAAGGUUGAUAGAACAGUUGAAUCAACCAUGAGAGAAUAAAAAAUUAAAAAUAAAAGGCCAAAAGGUAAAAUUACCCCAAAAAAUAGAAGAAAAAAAGAGAGAGAAACUUUCAUUAAGCCACUUCAGUUUUCCAAUGAGUCCACCAUAUCUACCUAUCAUAGCACCUCCUCAUUUGCUAUUCCAAGUAGUGGAUUCUUUUGCCAUGCACAUUCAUAUUUUGCUUUGCACAUCUUUUAAGGGGGCAUAUUAGGCAUCAUUAUUAGCACUUGUUGAAACUUGCCAACCAUUUUUGCUUUUAUUUUCAUAUAUUAGAGCUUUUGUUGGCACCUUUCAAGCUUUUGUAGGGCAGAGAAAAGGAAUGCAAAAAGAAAAAAGAAAAAAAAGAAAAGGGAAAAAAGAAAAAGGAAAAAGGAAAACUGAAAGAAAAAAGAGAUAAAAAAGAAAGAAGUAAAGAAGAAUAAGAUAGGAGUCAUGUUUCCUCUCUAUCAAGCUCUUAGUCUUAAUUUAUAGCGAGAUGAGCCUUAUUGCUUAGCCUUAUACUUUCUCACUUUUCUUACCACCCAUUUAUUCAUCAUAUAGAGCUUAGCACUCAUAGCUAAUUCUGUUCGUCAUCAUAUAAUGGGAUGGUUUAUUUGCAUAUGCUUUGCUAGGACUUCAUGGUACAUAUCACUUCAUAUCCAUUGUGCAUACCUUGGCAAAUCCCUACUUCCCAUGCAACAUCAAAACCGAGGACAUCACACAUGCCUUGGGGUCACUCUGCGUUACAUGGGCCUAUCUUUUCCUUGUCGAGUCACUCCCAUCCUUUCACAUCCUUUUCUAAUGAUCGGAAAUACGAGGCUUCUUGGUUCAUGGUGACUGCUUACUUGACUAUGUGAUCCGUGCUUCCCAAGACAUGAAUUGGGAGCUCAAGAUCGGUUGAAUCUAUGGAAUGAUCUUGCUUGAAAGACUUUGUAUCAUGGAGUAUCCAUUUUAGUAUAUGGUACUAGAGCUACAGUUUUGAAGGGACACUCAAGAAUCAACUUCCUUAAGGUCCACAUGUUGAUCACUUGACCAUUUCCCCCUGCCGCACGAGGUGUGAGGAGGGCAAGAUGUCGAGGGCAAUGGUGCUGCUGACGAUGAAAACCUACUCUCUGAGAAUCUCCUCCGCCUCCUCCAGCAGCCGUCCUCACUCCCCCGUGCCUCCCUCGUCUGCAAACGCCAGCGUCGCAUCGUAUCCAGCAUCCGCUUUUUACGCCGCUUUCACACACACCGCCACUGCAGCGCUCCCCUCCUCAGUUGCUUCGUCAGCGACCUGAGAGGCUUCUCCUACGCACAUACCAUGGAGGACCCAGCUCGUGUCACCGCCGGGUGCGGUCAUGGGUCCUGGAUCCACGACACUGUUCACUUGGUUGGUUCCGGGGGACAACCAAAAGGUUCCCGGGAAUUGCCCAGGAGAUUCACUUAAUGAACCGCUUUCAGCAGAACCAUUGAAGUUUUACGCUGUCGUGUGACAAUGCGCCCUGACGCUUGCUAGUAGCCUAAGUUGUGAUUUCGUGGAGUGCCAGAAGCUUGAAGUUUUCCUUGUGUUUAUGUAAUUAUUUUGAUCUGGAAAACAAAUUCCUUGCAGUGGCUGGUUUAGUUUA